rnacentral:tRNA from 1 species
CUCCCUAUAGUUCAACUGGAUAGAACGGAUGCCUCCUAAGCGUCAGAUUCAGGUUCAAGUCCUGAUGGGGAGGCCA